UCGCUACACGAUAUGCAAUAUCCGCGUGUCUGAUUGAUGCUCUUUCACCAAGUGUGAGUUCACAAGGGACAGGCAUGGUCAGCUUUCCUUGCACACAAAUGGAUUCCCAGGCCCCGAAGAACACCAACCACCCUGGACUCCGGAUCAGCGUUGGUCGGAGUAAUGAGUGGAGUAAGAGAAGGAAUCAGACAUGACCUUCACAUUGGCUGCAGAUCGUUGCUGGAAUGAAACCCAGGACUUCACACACGCAGGCCAGUACGCAGCCACUGAGGUGCACCCCCAGCCCAACCUCAGAAACAUCCCAGAUUCCACAGUAAGUACUCGGUAUGGAGAUGCAGAGAUAGGAAGAGAAGUACAUGUACAAAGUGGAGGACUCCUAACAGCCAGUCACGAGGCCUGAAUUCCUGAACCCAGGACAAAGACAUUAGAAAUGCAACCGAAAUGUAGAACUCACCUGAAGAUCUCUUUAAAGUCCAAUUUUUUUUCACUUUGGUCUAAAUAAGAUAAAUGUUAAGAUAGAUGGAUGUUCCUAAAUCAGGAAAAUCCAGGUUACAGU